rnacentral:rRNA from 1 species
GAUGAACGCUGGCGGCGUGCCUAAUACAUGCAAGUCGAGCGAACGGACGAGCAGCUUGCUUCUCUGAUGUUAGCGGCGGACGGGUGAGUAACACGUGGAUAACCUACCUAUAAGACUGGGAUAACUUCGGGAAACCGGAGCUAAUACCGGAUAAUAUUUUGAACCGCAUGGUUCAAAAGUGAAAGACGGUCUUGCUGUCACUUAUAGAUGGAUCCGCGCUGCAUUAGCUAGUUGGUAAGGUAACGGCUUACCAAGGCAACGAUGCAUAGCCGACCUGAGAGGGUGAUCGGCCACACUGGAACUGAGACACGGUCCAGACUCCUACGGGAGGCAGCAGUAGGGAAUCUUCCGCAAUGGGCGAAAGCCUGACGGAGCAACGCCGCGUGAGUGAUGAAGGUCUUCGGAUCGUAAAGCUCUGUUAUUAGGGAAGAACAUAUGUGUAAGUAAAUGUGCACAUCUUGACGGUACCUAAACAGAAAGCAACGGCUAACUACGUG